rnacentral:lncRNA from 1 species
CAGUCUGCUCACUUGCUCAAGCUUGCUCUCUCUCUCUGACAUUUGCACACCCACAAGUAUGGUUAAAGUUUACAGCAGGCCAGUUAGAGAUGUUUCAUGAAUGUUCUUAUUUUUUAAAAAGAGAAACUAAUAUGCUAGGGGUUUAGAUAACACAUAAGGGGUUACGGGCAUGGAGGUCAAAUCUAGUGAGGCUGCCGUCUUU